CCUACGGGAGGCAGCAGUGAGGAAUAUUGGUCAAUGGGCGGGAGCCUGAACCAGCCAAGUCGCGUGAGGGAAGAAGGUACUGAGUAUUGUAAACCUCUUUUGCCAGGGGACAAAAGCGGCCACGGGUGGACGUAAGAGGGUACCUGGAGAAAAAGCAUCGGCUAACUCCGUGCCAGCCGCCGCGGUAAUACGGGGGAUGCAAGCGUUAUCCGGCUUUAUUGGGUUUAAAGGGUGUGUAGGCUGUGAGGUAAGUCAGCGGUGAAAUGCCCCCGCUCAACGGGGUGAAGUGCCAUUGAUACUGCCUUGCUUGAAUGCGGAUGCCGUGGGAGGAAUGUGUGGUGUAGCGGUGAAAUGCAUAGAUAUCACACAGAACACCGAUUGCGAAGGCAUCUCACGAAUCCGCGAUUGACGCUGAUGCACGAAAGCGUGGGUAUCAAACAGGAUUAGAUACCCGGGUAGUC
rnacentral:rRNA from 1 species